UUCGGUCGAAAGGAACGAAGCUGUAUUCGAUUUCUUCCCCUGUAGGUUCGAUUUUUUUUUCAUUUCAGACACUAAAACUUUGAUUUAUUAAAGUUUGGGUUGUGGGUUUUCAUUUUAAUUUCUAUGUAAUUCGAGAUUUGCUGUAUAUUUACAUAAAGAAAUUUAUCUGUUGUGAUUGAAUGUUUUUGCUUAGCUAUUGAAAAUUGAAGAUGAGUGGUGAUUAGAGUUUCAGACUAUGUUUUUUAGCUAGUGGGUUCUUCAAAUGAGGGUAUUUGAAGCUAUGGGUUUCAGUUGUUUUGGUGCAUUUGAUUCUUGUAAACAUAUUAACAUGUUUAAGAAAUAUUUGGGGUUCCCUUUUUGGGAAAAGUUGGUUGUUUCAAAAUGUUUAGUUUUGGCUCGUGUUUAGAAGUUGAAGGAUAUUUUUGGGUCAAUUCCAAAAUGGCCAAAUUGUAUUAUUUAGAGUCAUUGUUUGCAUCUUAGUGCUUCUAUAAAAUUGAAUCAUCUUUGAAAAGGAUAUUAUGGUAAGCCCUUUCAAGGUUAUUGAUUUGUCAUUUGAUAAAAAGCUAAACUCAAUCCGAAUUGAGCUACCUAAAAUUACAGUUUUGAUGUACUUGAAGCUCUUGGGGAUUUUUCAUAUUUCUUCAUUACUUUAACACUAUUUCACCAAUUGGGUUUCUACUAAAUUACUGUGAUUACUGUGACACUAUUUGUCAUAUUUCUUCGUUACUUUAACACUAUUUUUCAUAUUUCUUCGUUACUUUAACACUAUUUGGCCAAUUGGCUCUUGGGGAUUACAAUUUGUACUGCCUAGAUUUCUGUGAUUUCCUUUCCUGUAACCUAAUUCAACUUGUAACUUGCUGUAGAGGAAUUGAAAUCUUUUUGUAACCUAAUUGAAAUCUUCUUUGUUUACAGAGGAAUGUUUGUCAAUUUUUUGCUUGGUAUGAUCCUCCAAUGUGUGACAGAUCAAGAUAAAUAAUCCCGGAUUACUUCGAAAGAUUAACGGAAUGAAGCAAGAGAUGGAGAAAAGAAUAAAAUUUAUUACUGCACUUGUUUGUUCUUGGUUAUUGAUUUUAAUCAUGUUAUUGUAAGUGGAGUAAAUAUUGUCAUUUGGGUUGAUUAAAAUUCUACUAUAGUUUGUUGUAACCUUAUCCAAGAUGGAAUAAAUAUUGAUUGCAUAUACAAAUAAAUUUAUUGUUCAUGUAUCUGA
rnacentral:lncRNA from 1 species